AAAUAAAAAAGUAUACUAUCAAUCUUAAUUAUAGUACAUAUUAAAGUACACAAGCUAGAGAAAAAAAAAUUUGGACCAAAGUAAAUAUUCAACUAAAAUGCAAAAUUCAAUCCUGCUCUAUUAUCUAUGAAUUGGUGUGCAAAAUAAUUUACAUUUACAUAUUGAUGUGCAAAAUAAAAUGAUAACUAAAAUUGAUAUGAAAAAUUACAAAUGACAUU
rnacentral:lncRNA from 1 species